CAGUCGCGUUCUCUGGGAUUCAGCCUUGCUUCUUGCUUGGUGCAUUUCCUAGUCUACGGGCCAGCAUGUAUCUUGAGCGGGGAAAAGGGUUUGGGGAAUGUGGCACCUCCGGGUGUGUUAUAGCCUCUUGUCGUACACGGUGCUUGGGAUUGAGGACUGCAGCACGCCUUUUGGUCGGGGUUCUCCCACGCCACGUGCUUAGGAUGCUGGCGUAAUGGCUUUAAACGACCCGUCUUGAAACACGGACCAGGGAGUCUAACAUAUAUGCGAGUGUU
rnacentral:rRNA from 1 species